UACGAAGGGGGCUAGCGUUGCUCGGAAUCACUGGGCGUAAAGGGUGCGCAGGCGGUUGGGUGUGUCAGAUGUGAAAUCCCGAGGCUUAACCUCGGAACUGCGUCUGAAACUACUCGACUAGAGUACUGGAGAGGGAAACGGAAUUCACGGUGUAGCAGUGAAAUGCGUAGAUAUCGUGAGGAACACCAGAGGCGAAGGCGGUUUCCUGGACAGUUACUGACGCUCAGGCACGAAAGCAUGGGGAGCAAAAGGG
rnacentral:rRNA from 1 species